rnacentral:rRNA from 1 species
ACGCUCGACACCUACGGGAGCAGCAGUUGGGAAUAUUGGACAAUGGAGGAAACUCUGAUCCAGUGACGCCGCGUGAAGGAAGAAGGUCUUCGGAUUGUAAACUUAUUUUGUCAGGGAAGAAAAAAUGACUGUACCUGAAGAAAAAGCACCGGCUAACUACGUGCCAGCAGCCGACGGUAAUCUGAGCGGGCUGGCAAGGC